UCAGAUGUCCUGAGAUUUGCAUUAUAUGUUAAAAAAUGUUGCAAUGUUUCAUUGCUCGAAAAAAAUGUUUCAACAUGAAUUGUUUUAUGAUGUUUCAUCUUUCACUGAAGAAUGUUUCACCGCUUUAACGAAAAUGUUUCAAUCAAAUGUAACACUCAAGAACGGUAACAACAACAACAAAAACACAUUAUGUGCAACAUCCAAUAUUGAUUUAAAAAACAUUUAGAAAAGACAUAUUGCAACAUCGCAAAAACACUGUAUGCAACAAUGCUCGCUAGCUCGACCUCGUCCGAGCGCCGCCACCGGAGCCUAGGCACAGUGGAGGCGUGCUUCGCCCCUACCUCCCCUCGGGCCGCCGCACCGCCGCGCUUCUCUGCUCCGGCACCGCCACCGCCUCGUCGCUCCGCGUCCGCCCGCUUCUUGUCGUUGCUAGCACACACAUGGGGAGAUAAGAGAGAAAAAUGAAUGGUUGGAAAUAAAGAUUAGAUUGACUGCCGGAGAAAGAAGAUAGAGAGAGUAGUUAGGUGGGACCCACUAGGUUAGCGUCCGAUUUUUUAUCAUAUGCCGGACGUACGAGUUAAAGCAUUUUCGGAAGAAUACCAGUACUACCGCUCUAGACAUGUACUCCCUCCGUUUCAGGUCAUAAGAUGUUUUAACUUUGGUCAAAGUCAAACCGCUUCAAGUUUGCCCAAGUUUAUAUAAAAAAAUAGUAAUAUUUUUGACUUGAGAUAUUAUAAAAUUAUAUGUAAUUAUUAAUUAAAAAAACUAAUUUAGUAAUGUAAAUAUUAUUAUAUUUAUCUAUAAACGUAGAUAAAUUUAAAGCAGUUUGUGUUGGACUAUUCUUAUAGCUUGAAACGGAGCUGAGUAUCUUACCACUGUUGUAAAUUUGUUGUGAACCUUGUGAUGCCCUCGCUGGACUGUUCCUUGGAUCAAAGACGUGGC
rnacentral:lncRNA from 1 species